GCCGUAGCUCAACCUUACAGCAUCUGCUUUGCAUGCAGAAGGUACCAGGCCAGGUUCAAUCCCUGCCAACACCC